rnacentral:rRNA from 1 species
GACGAACGCUGGCGGCGUGCUUAACACAUGCAAGUCGAACGGAAAGGCCCUGCUUUUGUGGGGUGCUCGAGUGGCGAACGGGUGAGUAACACGUGAGUAACCUGCCCUUGACUUUGGGUUAACUUCAGGAAACUGGGGCUAAUACCGUAUAGGAGCUCCUGCUGCAUGGUGGGGGUUGGAAAGUUUCGGCGGUUGGGGAUGGACUCGCGGCUUAUCAGCUAGUUGGUGGGGUAGUGGCUUACCAAGGCUUUGACGGGUAGCCGGCCUGAGAGGGUGAACGGCCACAAUGGGACUGGGAUACGACCCAGACGACUACGGGAGGCAGCAGUGGGGAAUAUUGCACAAGGGGCGGAAGCAUGAUGCAGCAAAGCCGCGUGCGGGAUGACGGCCUUCGGGUUAUAAACCGCUUUCGCCUGAGACGAAGCGUGAGUGACGGUAAUGGGUAAAGAAGCACCGGCUAACUACGUG